rnacentral:rRNA from 1 species
AUUGAACGCUGGCGGCAGGCCUAACACAUGCAAGUCGAACGGUAACAGGAAGCAGCUUGCUGCUUUGCUGACGAGUGGCGGACGGGUGAGUAAUGUCUGGGAAACUGCCCGAUGGAGGGGGAUAACUACUGGAAACGGUAGCUAAUACCGCAUAACGUCGCAAGACCAAAGAGGGGGACCUUCGGGCCUCUUGCCAUCGGAUGUGACCAGAUGGGAUUAGCUUGAUGGUGAGGUAACGGCUCACCAAGGCGACGAUCCCUAGCUGGUCUGAGAGGAUGACCAGCCACACUGGAACUGAGACACGGUCCAGACUCCUACGGGAGGCAGCAGUGGGGAAUAUUGCACAAUGGGCGCAAGCCUGAUGCAGCCAUGCCGCGUGUAUGAAGAAGGCCUUCGGGUUGUAAAGUACUUUCAGCGGGGAGGAAGGUGUUGUGGUUAAUAACCGCAGCAAUUGACGUUACCCGCAGAAGAAGCACCGGCUAACUCCGUGCCAGCAGCCGCCGUAA